rnacentral:rRNA from 1 species
GAAGACUCUACUUGACUAGCUGAGAGGAGGUGCAUGCCGUCGUCAGUUCGUACUGUGAAGCAUCCUGUUAAGUCAGGCAACGAGCGAGACCCACGCCAACAGUUGCCAGCUCGUCCUCCGGGAUGGAGGGGACACUGUUGGGACCGCCUCUGCUAAAGAGGAGGAAGGAAUGGGCAACGGUAGGUCAGCAUGCCCCCGAAUUAAUUGGGCUACACGCGGGCUACAAUGGGUGGGACAAUGGGUAUCGACACCGAAAGGUGAAGGCAAUCUCCUAAACCCAUCCGUAGUUCGGAUUGUGGGCUGCAACUCGCCCACAUGAAGCUGGAAUCUGUAGUAAUCGUGUUUCAAAAUAGCACGGUGAAUAUGUCCCUGCUCCUU